ensembl:misc_RNA Metazoa_SRP Metazoan signal recognition particle RNA
GCCAGGCUUGGUGGUGCUCACCUGUAGUCCCAGCUACUCGGGAGGCUGAGGUAGGAGGAUUGCUUGAGCCCAGGAGGGCAGGGCUGCAGUGAGCUGAGAUCAUGCCACUGCACUCCAACCUGGGCAACAGAGCAAGAACCUGUCUUUA